rnacentral:misc_RNA from 1 species
AACUUUUGGCAACGGAUCACUUGGUUCCCGUAUCGAUGAAGAACGCAGCGAAACGCGAUAGGUAAUGUGAAUUGCAGAAUUCCGUGAAUCAUCGAAUCUUUGAACGCACAUUGCGCCUGCUGGUAUUCCGGUAGGCAUGUCUGUUUGAGCGUCAGCAAACACCCUCGGUGUACGGAUGUUAAUCGCUCCGUACAUCGGUUAUGGGCUUUUGGGAGCUAUGGGCACUGGCCCGCUUCCGCCUUAAACCUGCUGCAUGACCGCAGGCCGACUGGCAAUGCUUAUGGAGUGGAUAUUCAUAUAUAAUUCCGUACUCUGCCAGCUUCCCCGCGGCGUUAAACCCUCCGUUGCCUCCCUUCUGAGGUGACUGAAGUUUGACCUCAAAUCAGAUAAGGAUACCCGCUGAACUUAAGCAUAUCAAUAAGCGGAGGCU